rnacentral:lncRNA from 1 species
UUUUGGAAUGGUAAGAUUGCAGCAGAUGAUAAUUUGAGGAGAUGGGGAAUAGAAGGACUUACUAGGUUUUGGUGCUGCACCAUGGCAACUCAUGAAACAACUUCACAUGUGUUUCUUAAGUCUGGCACUGCUAACAGGACAUGGUCCUUUUUCUUAUUCUUUUGUAGGUAUAAGCAUGGUAGGAAAAAGCAUUAGAGAACUUAUGUAAUGACUCGGGACUAUCCCUUAGUCGUCACAUGGUGCUUACAAUCCCGAGUGACCACAAGCUAACCCAUGACUAAUAUCUGCUGUGAGCACUGAAUAAUAAUACUGUAAUUAAUGCAAAAAAUAGGAUGAAAUUCCAUAAAGUUCAAACUAUUUGAAAUACUGAUAAAAUUUAACAUCUGUAAAACUAAAUAUUAUUUGAAAAUCUAGUUUGAAAAGCCUCUAACUAAAUCUGUCUGAAAGUGGAGUUGAUAGGACAAUCCCCCAACUAACUCCCUUACUGAACUACUACAUUUACUAAAAUAUGAAAUAAUAGAAUAUCCUUGAAUGAUGAGGACUCACUGCUAAAUCUACUGUUGUUGGCCAAAUCUGAAUCUACUAUGCAUGGUCGGGAACCUGAGCAUCCAAACCUAUGAUAUGAAACAUCAUAGCGCAGGAAAGUAUGCAUCAAUACAUGGGAAUAUACUGGCAUGCUAGAUGAGGUAAGGCUGAAUGCAAAGGUUCAUAUCAUGAAGAGUAACUGACUAAAUGAUAUAGAGUAACUGAAUAUGAGAGUACAUGGUAACUAAAAAUACUGUAAAUACUGAGUAUGUAAUACUGUGAAUAUAUGUAUACUAUAACUGAGCUUUUCUGAAGCUAAGUACUAAUUUAUGAUAACUAAGUAACUGAUAUCUAAAGUUAGUGAUAACUGAUUUACUGACACUGAUUGACUGUGUCUAAUAGUUCUGAUUCUAUAAAACUAAACUAAGUUCUAAACUGAAGACUGAAACUGAAAUUAUGGGAGGUAAUCAUAUAACAGACAUGCCCCAAUUUGAGCUAAUUGAGGUCCAACCUAUAACCCCAAUUAGAAGGGUGUUAGCACCAUUCCAUAUGUACUAACAACUAUUUUAGAUUCAGUCCUAAUUAAUGGGUGACCCUUGAGAUCAGUCCUAAACUAACGGAUGAUCCCUGAGUAUGUCAAUCCUAUCUAACGGGUGACAUCUCUAAAUCUAUGCUAUCUACAUAGUUAUGGAACUUAGGGAUUCCUUUUAGGGACCCAGUCUUAGUUAAUGGGUGAGAACCCAUCCCUAGGCUCGCUCGGUGCUGAAUCCUACCUCUAACUGAUAGACACUGGUCUGAUUAUACUUAACUGUACUGGACUAAUAUAGAUUUCACUGAGUUUUCCUAAGUUAUGUAACUGACUGAGUUCUACUGAGUUCUAUAACUGAUUGAGAGUACUACUGAUUGUGACAUGACUGAUACUAUUCUAUCAAUGACACUGGCUCUAGGUAAACAACUAAAUUACCGGGUAUUAAAUACCUCAGGACUCGAUAGCAUGAAAAAUAAAGCAAAGCAUUAUCUUGAAUAACAUAACAAUGUUCACUUGGUCAUAAUUCAACACUUGUAAUGCAUUAACUUGUACAUGGAUGGGGAAUACAUGUUAGCAUGCUAUAAUGACCCUAUUUCAUUCUCAUAAAAAAUUUAUCAAACAUAAUAGAAGCAUACUUGGUUCAUUAAAUCAUAAACACUUAGGUUUAACAUGGUUACAACAAUUAACUUGCAAAUUGAAGGGUUUAUCAUGAAUAUCAUGUAAUUCAACACACACUAGAAUCAAUUCUUGGAAAUUGUAAUCUAAAUCAUGGAUUAAAACUCAAAAAACAUCAUGAACAUGAAUUCAAUCUAAUUCAAACAUGGAAAUCAUAAAUCAUAAAUCUUGUAUUUUGAAAAAGGAUUCUUGGGCUCCAUGGAAGGUAAGGGUCCUUGGAUGAACAUCGAACAUACCUUGGAAGAUUAUUUCUUGAAGAUUCUUGGAAGAAAUCUUUAGACUUAUUCUUGAUUUCUUGAACUAGGGUUUUGGCCUCUUCUAGAGAGAAUACAUUUAAUUUGGAGAUGAAUUGAAUAAUAAGUAGCUAAGGAUGUUUUUAAGGAUUAAAUCCCGUAUCUCGGCAUAAUAAAAUCGUGGUAAAGAAUUGUUUUAACCCUCGGAUCCUUUUAAUUUUUUGUGAAAUUUUUUUGAACUGGGCACCUGGUACGAUGCACCAUUAUCGCAUCGUGCCACUGGAAAGUGGACAACUGGGAACUGCACUGAUGGCGCGAGGCAGCGCCAUCAUAGUGCCUUACUGGUUGCAAAUUUUCCCUUUGGCGCGACGCGCCAAUGAUCGCGUAGUCACGCUGGAAAGUGACAAUCAGGAAAAAGGCUAGUAGUGCGAUGUGAUGAUAUCAUGUUAUCCACUAGAAAAUGACAAAUUCCAUUUGGACUGCCUUCGUGACGCGCUAGAGUACCAGAUGGUACACUGUCUUGCUAAAAUAGCUCUAACUCUUCGACCGGGUGUUGGAUUUGGGCAAAUUUGGUAUCGAUGGAAAGCUUAUUUAAUUUCUCACACAAUGAAAAUUCAAAAUCUUGAAAAUUAUACAUGUAUAAAAUUUUAUUCUUCCUUAAAUCAAGUCUUUGACAUAUUUUGGAUGAAUUUAAGCUAGGUAAAUGUACGGGAUAUUACAACUUAUUAUGAGAUGGUGGAAUUCUAAAUUCUCUGGACAAAUUGGAGCAUAUUAUCAAGAUAUUCCAAGAUUGAUAUUAUCAGAACUAUGGAGGAGAAGAAAUAACUCAAAACAUGAAAGGAAAAUAUUGUCUACUCACUUGGUAUUAGUCAAUAUUCAAAGAAAUAUUGGACUCUUACUGAGAGUAAGAAAUCCAGGACAAAAUUUUCCAAUUAUGUGGCCUGAUAUUCUUACUAAAUUAGAGAAGAGAAGAUCUAAAUCGAGAGUCAUAAAAGUGGAAUGGAGAUUUCCAAAUGAAGGAUGGCUGAAGUAUAAUAUAGAUGGGGCUUCUAAAGGUAAUCCUAGGGUGAGUUCUACUAUUUUUUGUCUAAGGGAUCAUAAGGUAGAUCUAGUAUAUGAUGACGGAGCUAAAAUUGAUGACACUACAAACACUAAAGCAGAAACAUGUCAUAUUCUAAAAGAAGUUAUUCAUUGUGGACACUCCCAAUUCAAAAAUGUCAUUAUUCAAACAGAUUCUUUGUUUAUGUUCAAGAUAUUGACUAAGGAAUGGGUUUUUCCAUGGAAUUUAGUAGACACAAUAGAGAACAUCACAUCAGAGUUGAAACAUAAAUGGAUAGUUUUUCAACACAUAAGGAGGGAAGGGAAUCAAUUAGUAAAUCAUCUAGCGAAUGCAGCAAUAGAAAAGAAAAUUUUAGUAUAACUUUAUUUUAGCAGUUGGAAAUACAGGGGAAGAAGAUCUUAAAUAGUGACAAACUACAGUGCCCUUACAUUAGAUUAUCAGUAGUAAAAUCAUGAGAAGGCUUAAGGCCAUAGAUACUACCAAAGACUACAAACAUCUAUUUAUAAUCUAGGAGGCCAACACUUAUAACCAAAUUUGUCUAACCUAUACAAAUUUAACCAUCAAAAAGGACUCUUAAGAAGGAGAAAGGUCAAUGAUGUCUAAGUAUCUAAGACACCUGGGCACAAAAGGUAAUCUAAUAGUUUUGUGGGUUCGAGCAUCUCUGUAUCUCCAUCCACACUACAACUAUCAACAAAAAGGAGUAAGAGUGAUGAAUAAGCAUAAAGUGAGGAGAAGAAGAUCGAAGUAUACCUAUACAUGCAAUCAUCUCCAGGAACCUUUGACCCUUAAAUCAGCACCAAAAUCAAUGAUAAAACCCAUCCAGUAGAGAUCUCAGCUGAAACAACAAAGAGAAGAUAAAGGAGCAAUUAAUAAGGAAGAAGAAGAGCUACACAUUCGGAGGUCUAGAAGAAGCUUACUUCAAAAAGUUAAUAUCAAAACACAUUUCUAUAUUCCAAGGCACAGAAUUGAUGAUCCACAGUAAGAGAAAGAGGAAUUGGAGAUUCAGGUGAUGAUUUUCCAUGCUUCACCUGAUAAGUUCAAGGAGAGGCGGAAAUUAAGGGGAGGGAAUGAAUUGGGAAACCAUAGGACUAGUUUUAUAUGUCUGAAGAAGAU